rnacentral:rRNA from 1 species
ACUACGGGAGGCAGCAGUGGGGAAUAUUGGGCAAUGGGCGCAAGCCUGACCCAGCAACGCCGCGUGAAGGAAGAAGGCUUUCGGGUUGUAAACUUCUUUUCUCAGGGACGAAGAAAGUGACGGUACCUGAGGAAUAAGCCACGGCUAACUACGUGCCAGCAGCCGCGGUAAUACGUAGGUGGCAAGCGUUAUCCGGAUUUAUUGGGUGUAAAGGGCGUGUAGGCGGGAGCGCAAGUCAGAUGUGAAAACUAAGGGCUCAACCCUGAGCCUGCAUUUGAAACUGUGUUUCUUGAGUGCUGGAGAGGCAAUCGGAAUUCCGUGUGUAGCGGUGAAAUGCGUAGAUAUACGGAGGAACACCAGUGGCGAAGGCGGAUUGCUGGACAGUAACUGACGCUGAGGCGCGAAAGCGUGGGGAGCAAACAGGAUUAGAUACCCGAGUAGUC